AAAUGUUUGGGAGAAAUGGACAGGAACCGGAAGAUGUAGGACCAACGAGGAU
rnacentral:sRNA from 1 species